GAACUAUAUUCUUCAAAACAUGGCUCGGAAUAUUAUCAACAAGCCACUUAGGCCAUCCACCCACCAACUCAUCAUCUUCACCACCACCCUUAUUCAUCAAGCCAUCACCACUCCUUCUAGAAACUUCGCCACCCCUAUCUCCAUCACCGCUGCCGCUAUUGCUAGCACUCCUCCUCGCCUCGUGCCCCGGGUGGGCCCCGCCUCUCCCCCGGGAGCUCGGGUUCCUCGUCGGCCUCACCGGGCCCUCCUUCAUGCUACCAUUAACCAGCCUUAGCUUCUCCAUCUCCAUCGGCGGAGAUUUCACGGGAUAGAUGGUGGUAAUAAAAAGAGGUGUGGAGGAGUGAUAAUCUAUAUAUGUUUUCUAGCAUCGUGUCCUAAUCUUGAAGACUUAUGCAUACACUUCUCAUCUAUGUUACCAAAUCUUAAACCAAGCUUGAAAGUUUUGGACAUGAUUUGUGAUGUCCUUUGUUUUGGAAGCAGAGACUCAAACAGUUGAGGUGGAGAAGCUUGUAUUGGAUUUUCGGUUAAUGGUUGGUGGCCAACAUGUAUCCUUAUGCUUCUUCAUUUGAAUAAACCUUAUGGCUAUGUGGAAGCUGCUCAAAACAUUUUAUUCUUCACAUCAUUGAUCCAGGCUUCUCCACAUUCCUGCGACUUUAAAUUUAAGGUGAAUCAUUUUCGCAUGUCAGAUUUGAAUUUCUACACAUAUUCAUGAAGAUUCGAUAACUUGCCUAAACGAUAAUGUAAAAGCCACUUUAUUCUCUAGAUUUGAAUAAUAAUCAAAAACCAAGUUUUAGGAUGUUGGUAUAAGGCCUUCCAUUUUAUCACUCGGACUUGGCAAACAAGUUAGAGUAUUUCUACAAGUUUUGUUGUCAUUGUGUAGAUCAAAGAUGUUUCCACAGAAUGUCUCUUGUUGGGUUGCUUCUUCGAUCUCUUGUCUGGCAGAUUUCUUUCACUGCGGAUUUUUAGUUUGAGAUAGGCUUGGGCCUUCAAGUUUGCUAAGGAGUCUUUAUUCCUAGGGCUUUUAUGAACCCUAUUGAGUGCCGCCUCAAGUAACCCCUUCGAUGAGCCGCCGCCUGGAGCCUGCAGUCCGCCAAGAGUUUAGCCCGACUUGAGCCCAACUUCUUCUAAGGUUUGGCUAUAUUUUGGUGAUGAAGGGAAUUCGUUUUUGCUGUUGUUUUUCGUUCUACUCUACUGAUCAUUAAGAGUAUUUUCGUAGCCUUAUCGAGAGCAUGCAAUACAUGCAAGUGUGUUCUAAUUUGUGGCUUUAAUAUUAUUUAUUGGGUUUAAGCGUUGAAUGUGUAGCAUUCAAGCUUAGGGAGUGAGUUGUUAAUUUGCUCUCAAUUAUUCAUCUUGGUGGAGGUUUGGGAAGAUAUAGAGGCUAGGGAGAACGAGUCUUCGCGUGUAAGUCCUUUGUAUAUCUUAUCAUCACUAGUGGAUAAUUUACCUUGGGCGUGGCCCCCCAGACGCAGGUGUUUUAUCACCAAACUGGGUUACCAA